CAGCAGUAGCCACGGGAAUACGAAGGGUGCAAGCGUUACUCGGAAUUACUGGGCGUAAAGCGUGCGUAGGUGGUGGUUUAAGUCCGUUGUGAAAGCCCUGGGCUCAACCUGGGAAUUGCAGUGGAUACUGGGUCACUAGAGUGUGGUAGAGGAUAGUGGAAUUUCCGGUGUAGCAGUGAAAUGCGUAGAGAUCGGAAGGAACAUCUGUGGCGAAGGCGACUAUCUGGGCCAACACUGACACUGAGGCACGAAAGCGUGGGGAGCAAACAGGAUUAGAUACCCCCGUAGUCCCUGUCUCUUAUAC
rnacentral:rRNA from 1 species